AGAGUUUGAUCCUGGCUCAGAGUGAACGCUGGCGGCGUGCCUAAUACAUGCAAGUCGAACGGAGAUUAAGUAGCUUGCUAUUUAAUCUUAGUGGCGCACGGGUGAGUAAUAUAUAGCUAAUCUGCCCUACACUAGAGGACAACAGUUGGAAACGACUGCUAAUACUCUAUACUCCUUCUUUACAUAAGUUAAGUCGGGAAAGUUUUUCGGUGUAGGAUGAGGCUAUAUCGUAUCAGCUAGUUGGUAGGGUAACGGCCUACCAAGGCUAUGACGCGUAACUGGUCUGAGAGGAUGAUCAGUCACACUGGAACUGAGACACGGUCCAGACUCCUACGGGAGGCAGCAGUAGGGAAUAUUGCUCAAUGGGGGAAACCCUGAAGCAGCAACGCCGCGUGGAGGAUGACACUUUUCGGAGCGUAAACUCCUUUUCUUGGGAAAGAAUUAUGACGGUACCCAAGGAAUAAGCACCGGCUAACUCCGUGCCAGCAGCCGCGGUAAUACGGAGGGUGCAAGCGUUACUCGGAAUCACUGGGCGUAAAGGACGCGUAGGCGGAUUAUCAAGUCUCUUGUGAAAUCUAACGGCUUAACCGUUAAACUGCUUGGGAAACUGAUAAUCUAGAGUAAGGGAGAGGCAGAUGGAAUUCUUGGUGUAGGGGUAAAAUCCGUAGAGAUCAAGAAGAAUACCCAUUGCGAAAGCGAUCUGCUGGAACUUAACUGACGCUAAUGCGUGAAAGCGUGGGGAGCAAACAGGAUUAGAUACCCUGGUAGUCCACGCCCUAAACGAUGUAUACUAGUUGUUGCUUCGCUAGUCGAGGCAGUAAUGCACCUAACGGAUUAAGUAUACCGCCUGGGGAGUACGGUCGCAAGAUUAAAACUCAAAGGAAUAGACGGGGACCCGCACAAGCGGUGGAGCAUGUGGUUUAAUUCGAAGAUACGCGAAGAACCUUACCCGGACUUGAUAUCUAACAAAUCAUCCAGAGAUGGAAGAGUGUCUGCUUGCAGAAAUGUUAAGACAGGUGCUGCACGGCUGUCGUCAGCUCGUGUCGUGAGAUGUUGGGUUAAGUCCCGCAACGAGCGCAACCCACGUCAUUAGUUGCUAACGGUUCGGCCGAGCACUCUAAUGAGACUGCCUUCGUAAGGAGGAGGAAGGUGUGGACGACGUCAAGUCAUCAUGGCCCUUAUGUCCGGGGCGACACACGUGCUACAAUGGCGUAUACAAUAAGACGCAAUAUCGCGAGAUGGAGCAAAUCUAUAAAAUACGUCCCAGUUCGGAUUGGAGUCUGCAACUCGACUCCAUGAAGCCGGAAUCGCUAGUAAUCGUAGAUCAGCCAUGCUACGGUGAAUACGUUCCCGGGUCUUGUACUCACCGCCCGUCACACCAUGGGAGUUGAUUUCACUCGAAGCCCAAAUACCAAACCGGUUAUGGUCCACAGUGGAAUCAGCGACUGGGGUGAAGUCGUAACAAGGUAACCGUAGGAGAACCUGCGGUUGGAUCACCU
rnacentral:rRNA from 1 species